CCCUUUCUACUUGUUAUCAUCCUUUAUCAAUAUUCAUAAAUUUUAGUGACAAUAGAGAGUAAUUUCUUAUUUGUAUCAGUGAUAUUUUCAAAAUUGUUCUCUAGUAUGUCUAGGAAGUGUAGUGUUAGAAAUUGUAAAAGCUUUGAUGGUCUGUGCACUUUUUUUAGUGUACCUAAAGCUUCUCUUUCUUCUUGGACAAAUAUUAUUGAAAAAGUUAAUGGAUCUACCACACAAGUUAAGUUUGUUUGUGAAAAACAUUUUCUUUCUCAAGAUUUAAUUAAUUCAUACAUAGAAACAGAUCAAUUUUCAGAUAUUAAAGAUUUUCCUCAACCAUUGAGGCCUAGAUUAAAAAAAGGUGCAAUUCCUCAAAUUUUUUUUAAGAAUGAAGUUGAAGCUUCACAGGUUUUAAAUGAAUCAAGUCAAUGUUAUUUCAAUUUAAAAAGUAUUCAAAAUAAUGUAAAAUUACCGAAUGGUUGGCACUCAUUUAGAGAUGCUGAUGCUUUGACAUUUAUUAAUAUACAACAUGAUAAAACUACUAGUUUUAUAAAAGCCAUUAUUAGGAAACAAAUUGUUAUAACUAGUGAUAAGACAAUAAGAAUUCACAUAUUAGAUAAAAUAUUUACUGAAGAGGAUUUAUUAGUGCCAAAAAUAUCUUCAUUUUCAUAUCAAGAAGUGAAUAAAUUAAUUUUGUGUAUAGACAGUAAAAAUAUAUGCAUUGGAGGUCCUAAUGUAUUGAACUAUCCAGGUAUUGACAUUAAGUAUGGUGUAAAGAUCAAUAAUAAUAUUUGGAGACAUAAGAAAUGUAAUUUUGUCUUACAUAAAUUAAGUAUAAAGAGAUGCCUUUGGUGUAAAAAACUAUGUGCAGCUUUCCGCAUUAAAAAAUAUCAGAAUUUGAAAAAAAGUGUAGAAAAUAAUGUAGAUGGAAAAUAAAUUCUUUAAUAUCAAAAAAAUUUUAGAUAAAAAUAAAAAUAAAAUCUAUUAGUUGGUUUACACAACGAGAAGAAAAAUAGUUAAAUAAUAGAAAAGUGGUACAAGUUAAAAAAAAAUAAAGAGCACUAAAAACAAUUUUAUGAGAUGUAAGUUUAAAAUAAAAAACAUAUUGCAGUUAAUAAUUUCAAUGAUGAACAUGGAAUUGUGUUGGCUUACAAAAUUGUGAUAGACCAGUUACAGAGAUUAGUUAUACUUCUAGUUUUUGCUGAUAUUAUACUUUCAUAUUUAUGUGUGGAAAGAAAAUAAAUUUACUUUUGGAUAACAUAAAACAAAUUUUCAAUGUAUAGACAUUCAUCAAAUAGACAUUUGUUAUAUAU